GACGAACGCUGGCGGCGUGCUUAACACAUGCAAGUCGAGCGGUAAGGCCCUUUCGGGGGUACGACGAGCGGCGAACGGGUGAGUAACACGUGGGUGACCUGCCUUUAGCUCUGGGAUAAGCCUGGGAAACUGGGUCUAAUACCGGAUAUGACUCCGCGGUGCAUGCUGUGGGGUGGAAAGCCUUGUGCGGCUGGAGAUGGGCCCGCGGCCUAUCAGCUUGUUGGUGGGGUGAUGGCCUACCAAGGCGACGACGGGUAGCCGGCCUGAGAGGGCGACCGGCCACACUGGGACUGAGACACGGCCCAGACUCCUACGGGAGGCAGCAGUGGGGAAUCUUGCGCAAUGGGCGAAAGCCUGACGCAGCGACGCCGCGUGA
rnacentral:rRNA from 1 species